CCACCAAGGCGACGAUCCGUAGCUGGUCUGAGAGGAUGAUCAGCCACACUGGAACUGAGACACGGUCCAGACUCCUACGGGAGGCAGCAGUGGGGAAUAUUGGACAAUGGGCGCAAGCCUGAUCCAGCCAUACCGCGUGGGUGAAGAAGGCCUUCGGGUUGUAAAGCCCUUUUGUUGGGAAAGAAAAGCAGCGGGCUAAUACCUUGCUGUUCUGACGGUACCCAAAGAAUAAGCACCGGCUAACUUCGUGCCAGCAGCCGCGGUAAUACGAAGGGUGCAAGCGUUACUCGGAAUUACUGGGCGUAAAGCGUGCGUAGGUGGUUGUUUAAGUCUGUUGUGAAAGCCCUGGGCUCAACCUGGGAACUGCAGUGGAAACUGGAUGACUAGAGUGUGGUAGAGGGUAGCGGAAUUCCCGGUGUAGCAGUGAAAUGCGUAGAGAUCGGGAGGAACAUCCAUGGCGAAGGCAGCUACCUGGACCAACACUGACACUGAGGCACGAAAGCGUGGGGAGCAAACAGGAUUA
rnacentral:rRNA from 1 species